rnacentral:rRNA from 1 species
AUGAACGCUGGCGGCGUGCCUCAUACAUGCAAGUCGAGCGAACAGAUGAGGAGCUUGCUCCUCUGACGUUAGCGGCGGACGGGUGAGUAACACGUGGAUAACCUACCUAUAAGACUGGGAUAACUUCGGGAAACCGGAGCUAAUACCGGAUAAUAUAUUGAACCGCAUGGUUCAAUAGUGAAAGACGGUUUUGCUGUCACUUAUAGAUGGAUCCGCGCCGCAUUAGCUAGUUGGUAAGGUAACGGCUUACCAAGGCAACGAUGCGUAGCCGACCUGAGAGGGUGAUCGGCCACACUGGAACUGAGACACGGUCCAGACUCCUACGGGAGGCAGCAGUAGGGAAUCUUCCGCAAUGGGCGAAAGCCUGACGGAGCAACGCCGCGUGAGUGAUGAAGGUCUUCGGAUCGUAAAACUCUGUUAUUAGGGAAGAACAAAUGUGUAAGUAACUAUGCACGUCUUGACGGUACCUAAUCAGAAAGCCACGGCUAACUACGU